rnacentral:rRNA from 1 species
UGCCAGCCGCCGCGGUAACACGGGGGGCGCAAGCGUUAUUCGGAAUUAUUGGGCGUAAAGGGCGCGUGUAGGCGGUUCGUUAAGUCUGAUGUGAAAGCCCGGGGCUCAACCCCGGAAGUGCAUUGGAAACUGGCGAACUUGAGUACGGGAGAGGAAAGUGGAAUUCCGAGUGUAGGGGUGAAAUCCGUAGAUAUUCGGAGGAACACCAGUGGCGAAGGCGGCUCACUGGCUCGAUACUGACGCUGAGGUACGAAAGUGUGGGGAGCAAACAGGAUUAGAUA